CGCCGCAAUCGUCCCCGCCCGCGGCCGCAGGUGCAGCCGCCUCGCCGCCCGCGAGAGCCGCCUCGCGCACGUCCCCAUCAGCGCCGCCACCGCCUGCGCGAUGCUCACGCCCAUCGCUCGCCGCCUCUCCUCCUCCUCUCUCGCUUCGCCUCCGAGACCUUGAUGGCUAGCUUGGCUUGGCUUGGCUUUCUCCCCUGCGCUGCCGCUUCUGCGUCUCCCCGCUUAGCUCGCA
rnacentral:lncRNA from 1 species